UACGGGGGGGGCAAGCGUUGUUCGGAAUUACUGGGCGUAAAGGGCUCGUAGGCGGCCAACUAAGUCGGACGUGAAAUCCCCAGGCUCAACCUGGGAACUGCGUCCGAUACUGGAUGGCUUGAAUCCGGGAGAGGGAUGCAGAAUUCCAGGUGUAGCGGUGAAAUGCGUAGAUAUCUGGAGGAAUACCGGUGGCGAAGGCGGCAUCCUGGACCGGCAUUGACGCUGAGGAGCGAAAGCCGGGGGAGCAAACGGG
rnacentral:rRNA from 1 species